rnacentral:rRNA from 1 species
GAAUCAGUGUGUGUGUUAGUGGAAGCGUCUGGAAAGGCGUGCGAUACAGGGUGACAGCCCCGUACACAAAAAUGCACAUAUUGUGAGCUCGAUGAGUAGGGCGGGACACGUGGUAUCCUGUCUGAAUAUGGGGGGACCAUCCUCCAAGGCUAAAUACUCCUGACUGACCGAUAGUGAACCAGUACCGUGAGGGAAAGGCGAAAAGAACCCCGGCGAGGGGAGUGAAAAAGAACCUGAAACCGUGUACGUACAAGCAGUGGGAGCCUCUUAAUGGGGUGACUGCGUACCUUUUGUAUAAUGGGUCAGCGACUUAUAUUCUGUAGCAAGGUUAACCGAAUAGGGGAGCCGAAGGGAAACCGAGUCUUAACUGGGCGUUAAGUUGCAGGGUAUAGACCCGAAACCCGGUGAUCUAGCCAUGGGCAGGUUGAAGGUUGGGUAACACUAACUGGAGGACCGAACCGACUAAUGUUGAAAAAUUAGCGGAUGACUUGUGGCUGGGGGUGAAAGGCCAAUCAAACCGGGAGAUAGCUGGUUCUCCCCGAAAGCUAUUUAGGUAGCGCCUCGUGAAUUCAUCUCCGGGGGUAGAGCACUGUUUCGGCAAGGGGGUCAUCCCGACUUACCAACCCGAUGCAAACUGCGAAUACCGGAGAAUGUUAUCACGGGAGACACACGGCGGGUGCUAACGUCCGUCGUGAAGAGGGAAACAACCCAGACCGCCAGCUAAGGUCCCAAAGUCAUGGUUAAGUGGGAAACGAUGUGGGAAGGCCCAGACAGCCAGGAUGUUGGCUUAGAAGCAGCCAUCAUUUAAAGAAAGCGUAAUAGCUCACUGGUCGAGUCGGCCUGCGCGGAAGAUGUAACGGGGCUAAACCAUGCACCGAAGCUGCGGCAGCGACACUAUGUGUUGUUGGGUAGGGGAGCGUUCUGUAAGCCUGUGAAGGUGGCCUGUGAGGGUUGCUGGAGGUAUCAGAAGUGCGAAUGCUGACAUAAGUAACGAUAAAGCGGGUGAAAAGCCCGCUCGCCGGAAGACCAAGGGUUCCUGUCCAACGUUAAUCGGGGCAGGGUGAGUCGACCCCUAAGGCGAGGCCGAAAGGCGUAGUCGAUGGGAAACAGGUUAAUAUUCCUGUACUUGGUGUUACUGCGAAGGGGGGACGGAGAAGGCUAUGUUGGCCGGGCGACGGUUGUCCCGGUUUAAGCGUGUAGGCUGGU